rnacentral:tRNA from 1 species
GUCCUAGUAGCUCAGUGGUAGAGCUAUCGACUUUUAAUCGACAGGUCGUAGGUUCGAACCCUACCUAGGGCA